rnacentral:rRNA from 1 species
GAUGAACGCUGGCGGCGUGCCUAAUACAUGCAAGUCGAGCGAAUGGAUUAAGAGCUUGCUCUUAUGAAGUUAGCGGCGGACGGGUGAGUAACACGUGGGUAACCUGCCCAUAAGACUGGGAUAACUCCGGGAAACCGGGGCUAAUACCGGAUAACAUUUUGAACCGCAUGGUUCGAAAUUGAAUGGCGGCUUCGGCUGUCACUUAUGGAUGGACCCGCCUCGCAUUAGCUAGUUGGUGAGGUUACGGCUCACCAAGGCAACGAUGCGUAGCCGACCUGAGAGGGUGAUCGGCCACACUGGGACUGAGACACGGCCCAGACUCCUACGGGAGGCAGCAGUAGGGAAUCUUCCGCAAUGGACGAAGGUCUGACGGAGCAACGCCGCGUGAGUGAUGAAGGCUUUCGGGUCGUAAAACUCUGUUGUUAGGGAAGAACAAGUGCUAGUUGAAUAAGCUGGCACCUUGACGGUACCUAACCAGAAAGCCACGGCUAACUACGUGCCAGCAGCCGCCGCCG